rnacentral:lncRNA from 1 species
ACCAAACCCAAUCCAAAAAAUAGUACUGAACUUUAACCAACAUUGGUUAGAUAUCUGAAUGAGUUCAAAAUAUUGGUAUCUAGAGAACUGGAACCAAACCUGAUCAGAACCAAAAUAUUUUGGGUAUCCGAAUAUAUUUGAACAAGAUUUAUAUACUUAAAUCUAUUAAUUAUUUUCAAAAUUUACUAUCUAAAAGAAUAUACAAAAUAUAUAAGAUGUUUUAAGUUGUCCAAAAUACUUGGAAAUAUAUACAAAUAGUUAUAAGUACAUGAUUAAAAGAGCUAAAGUAUACUUAAAAUACCUAAACUACUUAAAAUAUCUAUUGAUUUCCUAUCAAAAUAUUUAAGUUAAACCAAUUUUUAUGUUAAGUUUAAGCAUUUUGGCAUACAUUAUUCAAAUUUAUAUGUUUUAUACUAUUUUUAUUUUUUUAUAUUUUGAAAAAUAUAAAGUAUAUAUGAACUUUAAUUUUGAAAAAAUAAAUAAAUAGGUUAUCUGAACCCAAACUCAAAC